rnacentral:rRNA from 1 species
GAUGAACGCUGGCGGCGUGCCUAAUACAUGCGAGUCGAGCGAACAGAUGAGGAGCUUGCUCCUCUGACGUUAGCGGCGGACGGGUGAGUAACACGUGGAUAACCUACCUAUAAGACUUGGAUAACUUCGGGAAACCGGAGCUAAUACCGGAUAAUAUAUUGAACCGCAUGGUUCAAUAGUGAAAGACGGUUUUGCUGUCACUUAUAGAUGGAUCCGCGCCGCAUUAGCUAGUUGGUAAGGUAACGGCUUACCAAGGCAACGAUGCGUAGCCGACCUGAGAGGGUGAUCGGCCACACUGGAACUGAGACACGGUCCAGACUCCUACGGGAGGCAGCAGUAGGGAAUCUUCCGCAAUGGGCGAAAGCCUGACGGAGCAACGCCGCGUGAGUGAUGAAGGUCUUCGGAUCGUAAAACUCUGUUAUUAGGGAAGAACAAAUGUGUAAGUAACUAUGCACGUCUUGACGGUACCUAAUCAGAAAGCCACGGCUAACUACGUG